rnacentral:rRNA from 1 species
GUAGGUGGCAAGCGUUGUCCGGAAUUAUUGGGCGUAAAGCGCGCGCAGGUGGUUCUUUAAGUCUGAUGUGAAAGCCCCCGGCUCAACCGGGGAGGGUCAUUGGAAACUGGGGAACUUGAGUGCAGGAGAGGAAAGUGGAAUUCCACGUGUAGCGGUGAAAUGCGUAGAUAUGUGGAGGAACGCCAGUGGCGAAGGCGACUUUCUGGCCUGUAACUGACACUGAGGCGCGAAAGCGUGGGGAGCAAACAGGGAUUAGAUACCCUGGUAGUCCACGCCGUAAACGAUGAGUGCUAAGUGUUGGGGGGGUUUCCCGCCCCUCAGUGCUGCAGCUAACGCAUUAAGCACUCCGCCUGGGGAGUACGGUCGCAAGACUG